ACUGUUUUCUAAUCUUAACAACGAAAUUCAAUGAUUGGAUUAUGCGAUCUUUGGUAAAUUCUAUGACGACAAUAUUGAAACCAUUAACAGUUUGUCACAGAAAUCAAUGUAGGCGUGGAAAGAAUUCUGAUUUAUACCUCUUGUAUCUCAUUAUCAUUCUCACUGAUUUUUUACACUUCGUUAAAGUAAAAGGAAAAUAUGAUGAAGGAGAUUGUAUUGGCUGUCUUUUGUGGUUUGACUAUUGCCAUGGCAACACCUGUUCUGCCAGAACGAGAUCUUGGUGAAAUCGACCCCAUUGACUCCUGCUUAUUCUUGUGUAAUAUAUGCUUCAAUGAAGAUGUGAACCUCAUGAUGAAAUGUGCUAACCGAGUGUGCCUUAGUGAACACAUGGUCACUGAAUAUUCUCUCUACCUAAUCAAACAGCUGUGCCCAUUAGAGGAUGAACACAUGGAAAAAUACGUCAACAACGGAAUGAAGCACUAACUACACGUAUUUUACACACAUUCUGUAAAUAAAGCAUAAUUAUAAAAGUGUUGUUUUA